UUAUCCUUAUUGGUUAAUCUGUUCCACCUGUACCUUCGGCCUCCCUGUCUCCUUGCUGCACCUGUUCUGUGUUUUUUGAUUAUCUGUCCUUUGUUCUCCUCUCACAUCCUGCUGUAUAUGAAUUGGUCUGUGCUCUUUGUUCCCUGCUGGUUCCUUGUUGUUGUUCAUCUUCACUCUGUUCUGCCCGCCCGCUAGACCAGGACUCUGUUUUAUGUUUGCUUUGUUCCUGCAAGGAGUACACAUACUGUCUGCUGAUGAGCGUAAGGGGAGAUGAAGGAGAUUCUGAAGAGAAACUAGAAUAGAACCAAGAGGAAGCAGAUAAGGUGAAUACAAAAGGGGCCAGGGAAUUGAGCCCUGUGAAACCCCAAAGGUAAGAGGUGCUGAAGUGGAAAAACAAUUACCGACAUUGACCGAGAAGCGUCUGUCUCUCAGACUUCAAGUACGUUUUGAUCGGAGGUGGGAUUGGCCUCGUCUUAUCUGCUCUGUUUAUUCUGUCAAAGAUCUGCAUGAUCAGGAACCAAGCGCAGCAAAACUUUCCAGCUGCAAUCGGUCCUUUUGAGUCAUCUCAGU